AGUGAACGCUGGCGGUAGGCCUAACACAUGCAAGUCGAACGGCAGCACAGUAAGAGCUUGCUCUUACGGGUGGCGAGUGGCGGACGGGUGAGGAAUACAUCGGAAUCUACUUUUUCGUGGGGGAUAACGUAGGGAAACUUACGCUAAUACCGCAUACGACCUACGGGUGAAAGCAGGGGAUCUUCGGACCUUGCGCGAUUGAUUGAGCCGAUGGCGGAUUAACUAGUUGGCGGGGUAAAGGCCCACCAAGGCGACGAUCCGUAGCUGGGCUGAGAGGAUGAUCAGCCACACGGGAACUGAGACACGGUCCAGAGUCCUAAGGGAGGCAGCAGUGGGGAAUAUUGGACAAUGGGCGCAAUCCUGAUCCAGCAAUACCGCGUGGGUGAAGAAGGCCUUCGGGUUGUAAAGCCCUUUUGUUGGGAAAGAAAAGAAGCAGGUUAAUACCCCGCUGUUCUGACGGUACCCAAAGAAUAAGCACGGGGUGACUUCGUG
rnacentral:rRNA from 1 species